AGGUCCUACAGCUGAUCCUGAGUCCUGAACUCACCUGACAGGAUAAGCAGGUAGAGGAAAGGUUUGCAGCGGCUCUGCCUGCAGCCUGGUCUGAGGGCCAUACUGACCCAGCUAGGUCCUGAUGAUGAUGAAGACGAGUCCAAGGUCACUAAACAGCUGGAGGAGCCGCCAGCUGCAUGUCGGGAAACAGCUGGCAGGUCCCACAAAGAAGCUCUGCUGCCGAGUUACCUGUUAGCUUAGCAUCAGCUACAGUCCAACGGUAAAACGUUAAAAACAAAACAGGCUGGUGUGUCUGUGCGGGAUCUACCUGCUAACGGAGCUAACGGAGCUAACAGAGCUAACCUCACACCGUAAACCCGCUCCGGACCGAAACAAAGGCAUCAGACCCCCGUUAGCUCCAGCUAACAGCUAACGUUAGCUUAAACUAGCUGUUAGCUUAAAGAACCGAAUCAUUAAACAGACAUUUAGCCACAUUAGCAGCCUGUCUGACACAUAACACAAGCGAACAGCUCAGCUAACACGACAACACAAAGACAAGCUAGCUAUCUCUAUAUUAAACAGAAGCUAACAGCUAACGUUAAUAACACUGGCCGGUUAGCUGGAACAUGCUAACGGAGCUAAGUGGCUAGCAAGCCCGUCCUCUACAACGAGGACAUAAAUCCCGGAGCGUUACCGCUAACCCGGGUUAAUUACAGGUAACCCGAGAUAACUACCAUCGCCAGGUGAAAGGUCAGCAGCGCGAGCGUCGCUCAGUCUGAAGGCAUCUUCAGGUAGUGUUAGCUGCUAGCGGCUAGCUGUUACCGAGCUGAACAACAACAGUCCGCAGCUGAGAGUGUGGAGGAGCAGGAACAUCAGUCCAGGUACAGGGAGAGAUCAGGUUUAUAAUGACCCAUCUACACCAGACUUGGGGACCUUAUCUGGCACGACUUCCUGAGGAGCUGUAUGAAAUUUGCUGUCAAUCGGCCUCUAGGCCCCCGGAGCUGCGGCAGGGCGCCCGGGUCGAGUCGCGCGGCAGGCACCGGGGGGCUUGGAACUUGGAACCACAAACUAAGCUGACCUGUAGAAGGUGGAGCAGAGAGGUGCGGCUCCUGGAGCAGCUUGGAUGAAGUCCUCGGGGGCCUCAGUGAAGCUUUAGUGGAAUAAAUUACCUCCCAAAUGUUUUACACA